UGGGGAAUAUUGCACAAUGGGCGCAAGCCUGAUGCAGCAACGCCGCGUGAGGGACGACGGCCUUCGGGUUGUAAACCUCUUUUAGCAAGGAAGAAGCGAAAGUGACGGUACUUGCAGAAAAAGCGCCGGCUAACUACGUGCCAGCAGCCGCGGUAAUACGUAGGGCGCAAGCGUUAUCCGGAAUUAUUGGGCGUAAAGAGCUCGUAGGCGGUUUGUCGCGUCUGCUGUGAAAACCCGAGGCUCAACCUCGGGCCUGCAGUGGGUACGGGCAGACUAGAGUGCGGUAGGGGAGAUUGGAAUUCCUGGUGUAGCGGUGGAAUGCGCAGAUAUCAGGAGGAACACCGAUGGCGAAGGCAGAUCUCUGGGCCGUAACUGACGCUGAGGAGCGAAAGGGUGGGGAGCAAACA
rnacentral:rRNA from 1 species